CCUACGGGUGGCAGCAGUGGGGAAUAUUGGACAAUGGGGGCAACCCUGAUCCAGCCAUGCCGCGUGUGUGAAGAAGGCCCUCGGGUUGUAAAGCACUUUCAGUGAGGAAGAACGCCUGGUGGUUAAUACCCAUCAGGAAAGACAUCACUCACAGAAGAAGCACCGGCUAACUCCGUGCCAGCUGCCGCGGUAAUACGGAGGGUGCGAGCGUUAAUCGGAAUUACUGGGCGUAAAGCGCGCGUAGGUGGCUUGAUAAGCCGGUUGUGAAAGCCCCGGGCUCAACCUGGGAACGGCAUCCGGAACUGUCAAGCUAGAGUGCAGGAGAGGAAGGUAGAAUUCCCGGUGUAGCGGUGAAAUGCGUAGAGAUCGGGAGGAAUACCAGUGGCGAAGGCGGCCUUCUGGACUGACACUGACACUGAGGUGCGAAAGCGUGGGUAGCAAACAGGAUUAGAUACCCUGGUAGUC
rnacentral:rRNA from 1 species